AUACGGAGGAUGCAAGCGUUAUCCGGAUUUAUUGGGUUUAAAGGGUGUGUAGGCGGAUGAUUAAGCGUGAGGUGAAAUGCCACUGCUCAACAGUGGAACUGCCUCGCGAACUGGUUGUCUUGAAUGCUCCUGCCGUGGGAGGAAUGUGUGGUGUAGCGGUGAAAUGCAUAGAGAUCACACAGAACACCGAUUGCGAAGGCAUCUCACGAAGGGGUGAUUGACGCUGAGGCACGAAAGCGUGGGGAUCAAACAGGAUUAGAUACCCUGGUAGUCCCGGCCGUAAACGAUGAUAGCUAGGUGUGGGGGCAGGCCUUGCCCCCGUGCCGCAGCCAACGCAUUAAGCUAUCCGCCUGGGGAGUACGGCCGCAAGGCUAAAACUCAAAUGAAUUGACGGGG
rnacentral:rRNA from 1 species